ensembl:lncRNA
UUGUUGUCCGAGAUAGCUACAUCUUACGGAUUUGAAUGACAAGUCCGGCCUUCCUUAAGCCCCGCCCUCUUCAAACCUCUCAUCCAAUGAUUUUCAAAACAUGCUUCCAUUUUACUUUGUAUCAGAGCAUUUAAUUCUAGGAGUUUUACAAGCUUUCAUAAUUAUUAAAUAUGUUUUGUCAUCUUUAUUACUUAUGUGAAUUAUUUUUAUUUGUUUUGAUAGAUUUUGGAAGGAGAAUACAGACUGUGUACUUAGAGGGAUGGUCCAGCUGCAGUCAGGCCAGUAUGAGUGUAACCAAUCAAACUGAAGAAGACAUGAAGAAGACUUUAAACAUGAUUAUGGAUAUUAAUGUAUUUAUAUUAAAAUAAAUGUGUUUUAGUCUUCUGUGUCUGAAGUGACUUCCAGCUGGAAGAAUAGUGUAAAAAAAACACACAAAAAAAUCAAACAAAUUUAAAAGUGAUGUGACAUGCAGCCAAGUAUUGUGACCCAUACUCAGAAUUUGUGCUCUGCAUUUAACCCAUCCAAAGUGCACACACACAGCAGUGAACACGUGAAAACACACCCGGAGCAGUGGGCAGCCAUUUAUGCUGCGGCUCCCAGGGAAAUUAUUAGUAUGAAAGAAAAAUGUUGUAAUGGUGAAAAUGAGUUGUAUGAUUGUGUUAUAGUUAUUACAUACGUAAAUAAAUGACUCCUUACAUCAUUAGAGUAGGUGAGAGGUUUGUGUUUCUUGUACAACCAGUCUGUAGUUUGAUUUUGGUUUCAUUUCUUUCAAGUAUUUAACACAGAUUCUUUUACUCUAGUGUAAUGUUUUAUCAAUACAAGCUGAAGUUGCAAGCACAUCUUUCCAAGGCUUUGCCAACAUGGGAACACAAGGGCAAAAAAAGGAUGAGAAUUCCUUCAAAGUUUGUAGUUCGAUUGGACCUGUUUCUUCUUUUGUAGGAAAUGGUGCCACAGCUACUUGUGUUGUUGCCACAAAGAAACUGAAUGUUUCUUCUUUUGUUAAAGGAGGAGCAUGUGCAGCUUUGGGUGGUACUGCAAAAGAUGCAACAUCCUUCAUCCUUAACUCAGCCACAGGCUGCAACUCCACAUCCAGUGGUCAGAAGUGAUUCGACGGGAAACCAGUGUUGGAGAUUCAGCAACAUUAACAUGUACACGCUAUGAAAGCAUAAGUGAAAAUGCAUUUAUCUCUUUUGCCACCGUCUGUGAUAAGAGCCUCAAUAAAGACUCAUUCAACUAGACA